AGUUCGGACNGUAGGCUGCAACUCGCCUACACGAAGCUGGAAUCGCUAGUAAUCGCGGAUCAGCACGCCGCGGUGAAUACGUUCCCGGGCCUUGUACACACCGCCCGUCACACCAUGAGAGUCUGUAACACCCAAAGCCGGUGGGAUAACCUUUAUAGGAGUCAGCCGUCUAAGGUAGGACAGAUGAUUAGGGUGAAGUCGUAACAAGGUACC
rnacentral:rRNA from 1 species